GAUCAUGGCUCAGAUUGAACGCUGGCGGCAAGGCCUAACACAUGCAAGUCGAACGGUAACAGGAAGGAGCUUGCUUCUUUGCUGACGAGUGGCGGACGGGUGAGUAAUGUCUGGGAAACUGCCUGAUGAGGGGGAUAACUACUGGAAACGGUAGCUAAUACCGCAUAACGUCGCAAGACCGAAAGAGGGGGGACCUUCGGGCCUCUUGCCAUCGGAUGUGCCCAGAUGGGAUUAGCUAGUAGGUGGGGUAACGGCUCACCUAGGCGACGAUCCCUAGCUGGUCUGAGAGGAUGACCAGCCACACUGGAACUGAGACACGGUCCAGACUCCUACGGGAGGCAGCAGUGGGGAAUAUUGCACAAUGGGCGCAAGCCUGAUGCAGCCAUGCCGCGUGUAUGAAGAAGGCCUUCGGGUUGUAAAGUACUUUCAGCGGGGAGGAAGGGAGUAAAGUUAAUACCUUUGCUCAUUGACGUUACCCGCAGAAGAAGCACCGGCUAACUCCGUG
rnacentral:rRNA from 1 species